rnacentral:lncRNA from 1 species
CUGAGAGAGUGAGUGGCUGAUGACAUCUCCCAGGCCUGGAAGCCUGGCUUCCAGUAAGGAGCCUUGUUUACCAGCUCAGAACAGGAAGCUUGGGUUGGACAUUGAACAGGGGAGGCAAGCACUCUACCAACUGAGCUACACCCCAGUUCUGCUAUUACUAAUCAACACCCCUAUGUGCCACUCAUCUCCAAAGUGGAGGGUACCAGCUGAUUGACAGGUGAGUUCUCAGGCUACAGAAGCCACGACUGGACCUGGAAGAAUGAUAUUAGAUCCCGGUAGAAC